UACGUAGGGGGCGAGCGUUGUCCGGAUUCAUUGGGCGUAAAGAGCUCGUAGGCGGCUUGGCAAGUCGGGUGUGAAAACUCCAGGCUCAACCUGGAGAUGCCACCCGAUACUGCUAUGGCUUGAGUUCGGUAGGGGACCACGGAAUUCCUGGUGUAGCGGUGAAAUGCGCAGAUAUCAGGAGGAACACCGGUGGCGAAGGCGGUGGUCUGGGCCGAUACUGACGCUGAGGAGCGAAAGCGUGGGGAGCAAACAGG
rnacentral:rRNA from 1 species